UGCCUUAGUAGCGGCGAGUGAAGCGGCAAAAGCUCAAAUUUGAAAUCUGGCGCCUUCGGUGUCCGAGUUGUAAUUUGAAGAUUGUAACCUUGGGGUUGGCUCUUGUCUAUGUUUCUUGGAACAGGACGUCACAGAGGGUGAGAAUCCCGUGCGAUGAGAUGCCCAAUUCUAUGUAAGGUGCUUUCGAAGAGUCGAGUUGUUUGGGAAUGCAGCUCUAAGUGGGUGGUAAAUUCCAUCUAAAGCUAAAUAUUGGCGAGAGACCGAUAGCGAACAAGUACAGUGAUGGAAAGAUGAAAAGAACUUUGAAAAGAGAGUGAAAAAGUACGUGAAAUUGUUGAAAGGGAAGGGUUUGAGAUCAGACUCGAUAUUUUGUGAGCCUUGCCUUCGUGGCGGGGUGACCCGCAGCUUAUCGGGCCAGCAUCGGUUUGGGCGGUAGGAUAAUGGCGUAGGAAUGUGACUUUACUUCGGUGAAGUGUUAUAGCCUGCGUUGAUGCUGCCUGCCUAGACCGAGGACUGCGAUUUUAUCAAGGAUGCUGGCAUAAUGAUCCCAAACCGCCCGUCU
rnacentral:rRNA from 1 species